ACGAACGCUGGCGGCGUGCCUAAUACAUGCAAGUAGAACGCUGAAGGAGGAGCUUGCCUCUCUGGAUGAGUUGCGAACGGGUGAGUAACGCGUAGGUAACCUGCCUGGUAGCGGGGGAUAACUAUUGGAAACGAUAGCUAAUACCGCAUAAUAGUAGAUGUUGCAUGACAUUUGCUUAAAAGGUGCAAUUGCAUCACUACCAGAUGGACCUGCGUUGUAUUAGCUAGUUGGUGAGGUAACGGCUCACCAAGGCAACGAUACAUAGCCGACCUGAGAGGGUGAUCGGCCACACUGGGACUGAGACACGGCCCAGACUCCUACGGGAGGCAGCUGUAGGGAAUCUUCGGCAAUGGACGGAAGUCUGACCGAGCAACGCCGCGUGAGUGAAGAAGGUUUUCGGAUCGUAAAGCUCUGUUGUAAGAGAAGAACGAGUGUGAGAGUGGAAAGUUCACACUGUGACGGUAUCUUACCAGAAAGGGACGGCUAACUACGUG
rnacentral:rRNA from 1 species